rnacentral:rRNA from 1 species
AACGAACGCUGGCGGCAUGCCUAACACAUGCAAGUCGAACGAGACCUUCGGGUCUAGUGGCGCACGGGUGCGUAACGCGUGGGAACCUGCCUUUAGGUUCGGAAUAACACAGAGAAAUUUGAGCUAAUACCGGAUGAUGUCUUCGGACCAAAGAUUUAUCGCCUUUAGAUGGGCCCGCGUUGGAUUAGCUAGUUGGUGGGGUAAGGGCCUACCAAGGCGACGAUCCAUAGCUGGUCUGAGAGGAUGAUCAGCCACACUGGGACUGAGACACGGCCCAGACUCCUACGGGAGGCAGCAGUGGGGAAUAUUGGACAAUGGGCGAAAGCCUGAUCCAGCAAUGCCGCGUGAGUGAUGAAGGCCUUAGGGUUGUAAAGCUCUUUUACCCGAGAUGAUAAUGACAGUAUCGGGAGAAUAAGCUCCGGCUAACUCCGUG